rnacentral:rRNA from 1 species
GAUGAACGCUGGCGGCGUGCCUAAUACAUGCAAGUCGAGCGAACGGACGAGAAGCUUGCUUUUCUGAUGUUAGCGGCGGACGGGUGAGUAACACGUGGAUAACCUACCUAUAAGACUGGGAUAACUUCGGGAAACCGGAGCUAAUACCGGAUAAUAUUUUGAACCGCAUGGUUCAAAAGUGAAAGACGGUCUUGCUGUCACUUAUAGAUGGAUCCGCGCUGCAUUAGCUAGUUGGUAAGGUAACGGCUUACCAAGGCAACGAUGCAUAGCCGACCUGAGAGGGUGAUCGGCCACACUGGAACUGAGACACGGUCCAGACUCCUACGGGAGGCAGCAGUAGGGAAUCUUCCGCAAUGGGCGAAAGCCUGACGGAGCAACGCCGCGUGAGUGUUGAAGGUCUUCGGAUCGUAAAACUCUGUUAUUAGGAAAGAACAUAUGUGUAAGUAACUGUGCACAUCUUGACGGUACCUAAUCAGAAAGCCACGGCUAACUACGUG